CAGCCGCCGCGGUAAUACGUAGGUGGCAAGCGUUGUCCGGAAUUAUUGGGCGUAAAGGGCUCGCAGGCGGUUUCUUAAGUCUGAUGUGAAAGCCCCCGGCUCAACCGGGGAGGGUCAUUGGAAACUGGGAAACUUGAGUGCAGAAGAGGAGAGUGGAAUUCCACGUGUAGCGGUGAAAUGCGUAGAGAUGUGGAGGAACACCAGUGGCGAAGGCGACUCUCUGGUCUGUAACUGACGCUGAGGAGCGAAAGCGUGGGGAGCGAACAGGAUUAGAUACCCCCGUAGUACCUGUCUCUUAUAC
rnacentral:rRNA from 1 species